rnacentral:pre_miRNA from 1 species
UCAGAGUAAUUCGUCCUCAUCCCAAUGCUCGUCAUCUACGGUUGGAAAAAGCCAUGAACUUUAUGUGGCAUAACGGCUCACCUCUAUGGGUACACAGUGUGGAAGCGGACAAAGUCUCUAGCUCACAAAGAUGAGUGGAGAUGACUUUGUCCGCUUCCGCUCGGUCUGCCUGCAUUGGAGAACCGUUGUGCCGUGUAAAGGGCAUGAAUUCUUCCAGUUGUUGAUGAUGGUGAGCCACUGGGAUGAGGAUGAAUACUCCGACAACA